CUCUUGUUUUUGCGCUUUAAUACCAACAGUAAUAUUAUUUUCUUAUUCUCUCUUAUUUAUAGUUGUAAAAUGUCAAACUUUAUUUUGAUGUGGGUGUUGUUGUUUGAUGUUGCAUUCAGCUCAUCAUGUAUAUUAGUAAUCUAAAGAGGAAGGAAAUCUAGUUGUCUAACAGCCUGACAUCCGUUUUUUGCUCACUGACCACAGAGGAAAGGUAUCUUUAAAGACAGCGUCCUUCUUCAUUCCACACAGAGAGAUGAGAGGAGCAAAUAUGAGUUUAACUGCAGCAGCGAGAGGAUUUGUCGUCUUCCUUCUCUCUGUGUCAGUGAUUCAGGGCCAGAACAGCUGGGGAGUGACUUACACCUC